rnacentral:misc_RNA from 1 species
CAAGAUCCCCAACCUCUACCAUUGUGUGUGUUUGGCUGUACCUGUUUUGUUCAUGCUCACACCCCUGGGAAAGACAAACUCUAACUUAAAUCAGUUAAAUGUGUCUUUCUAAGAUAUUCUUAUUUUCAAAAAAGUUGUAAAUGUUAUGAUCCAACAACCAACAAAUAUUUUAUCUCAGCAGAUGUAACCUUCUUUGAAACAUCCCCAUAUUUUCACCAAACACUACAAUAAAAAGACUCAUUUUUGAUGUUUUA